rnacentral:rRNA from 1 species
GAGUCCGCCUAAGAUUAGCCAUGCAUGUCUAAGUAUAAGCAAUCUAUACUGUGAACCUGCGAACGGUUAAUUAAAUCAGUUAUAGUUUAUUUGAUGGUACCUUACUACAUGGAUAACUGUGGUAAUUCUAGAGCUAAUACAUGCCUAAAAGCCCCUUCACGGGGGUGUAUUUAUUAGAUAAAAGACCGUUGGGUUUCGGCCCUCUUGGUGAAUCAUGAUAACUGCUCGAAUCGCAUGGCCUUGCGCCGGCGAUGCUUCAUUCAAAUACCUGCCCUAUCAACUUUCGAUGGUAGGAUAGUGGCCUACCAUGGUUGCGACGGGUAACGGGGAAUUAGGGUUCGAUUCCGGAGAGAGAGCCUGAGAAACGGCUCUCAUGACUAAGGUCAGCAGCAGGCGCGCAAAUUAUCCACUCGCAACACGCGGAGAUAGUGACAAUAAAUAACAAUAGAGGGCUCUUUUGGGUCUUCUAAUUGGAAUGAGUACAAUCUAAAUCCCUUAACGAGGAUCAAUUGGAGGGCAAGUCUGGUGCCAGCAGCCGCGGUAAUUCCAGCUCCAAUAGCGUAUAUUAAAUUUGCUGUGGUUAAAAAGCUCGUAGUCGAACUUCGGCUUCCGCAGGCCGGUCCGCCUAUUUUGGGUGUGUACUGGACCCUGUGGAGGCUUCACUUCCUGGUGAACACGUCUGCCGUUUACUCGGUGGGCGUGGGAACCCGGACUUUUACUUUGAAUAAAUCAGAGUGUUCAAAGCAGGCAUGUUUGCCCGAAUGUUUCAGCAUGGAAAUAAUAGAACAAGACGCGUGUCUCUAUUGGUCUUUUUAGAGGCACCGUAAUGAUGAAUAGGGGCGGUCGGGGGCAUUCGUAUUCAAUUGCUAGAGUGAAAUUCUUGGAUUUAUUGAAGACGAACUACUGCGAAAGCAUUUGCCAAGGACGCUUUCAUUGAUCAAGAACGAACUCGGGGGGAUCGAAACGAUUAGAUACCGUUGUAGUCUCGACAGUAAACGAUGUGAUCGGGGAUUGGUGGAGGGUUUCAUUUUAUGACCUCAUCAGCACCAAAGAGAAAUCUGAAUAACACCCAGGGGGAGUUAUGUCGCAGCUGGAAACUUAAACGAUGACGGAGCACCACAGGAAGGGGAGCCUGCGCUAAUGAACUCACACGGGAACUCACAGUCGAACCAUGAGAUGACGGAUUGAUAGCCCCUUUCUUUGGG